AGUACUUGUUGUCGAACACGUCGGGCGUGCGCACGUCGAGGGUCUGAUUGACGGUGCCCUGGGGCACGUCCUUGGCGCACUUGGCCCGCAGCCUCCUGGCGAAUAGCGGGUCGAUGAGCGGGUUGAGGUCGAUGUUGGGAGCGAAGCGGUCGGAGAAGACGGGGCAGUGGGCGACGCCGAAGGUGUGCGCGCCGGAGAGCGAGACGAGGUCGGCCACGUCGAGGCUCCGGUUGCCGAAGGAGGAGAUGAGAGUCGGCACGUCGAAGGAGGGCGCCGGCAGGGUGUCCACGAG
rnacentral:lncRNA from 1 species